AGUAGCUGGGACUACAGGUGCGCACCACCACACCCAGGUGUCACUCUGGAAGUGUCACUCUGGAAGUGUCAAUUUGAAAUGACCACACACCGAAUUGUGAAGGUUAUUGAGGACACCCAUCUCAUGAAUGAGAAAGCUCAGGAAGUCUGAGCAGAUGACUCUGGAAGCAAGAAGGAGGAAAGAUAAACUUCUCUUCCUUCCAUGCUGAUUCUCCCCAUUAUUUCAACGUACACUACAAAAACCACAGAUGAGCAUCAUUUGUUUAACUACAAGAAGAAAAAUAUUCAAGGUCCAAAGAUCUUAUAAAGGAAGCUAUCCUUGCUAAUGACUUUAUGAAGAACUUAGAGCUGUCACAGAUCCAGGAGAUUGCGCAUUGUAUGUACCCGGUGGGAGUAUGGCAAAGACAGUUGCAUCAUCAAAGAAGGAGAUGUGGGGUCACUGGUGUAUGUCAUGGAAGGUUUCUCCUAGCAAUUCUGUUGUUUCAUGAUCCACUUGAAGAAAUGAAGAUAUGUGGAAAAACAGUAAUUGCCCGAGAUUGCCUUCCAUUUUAUAAAUGCUCCAUUUAUGCUGAAACAAUCUGAAUAGACACGAUGCUUUUUUGUGCAUCUGGUUGGAGGACAGCAACUCCCAAAACUUUUCUAUUCAGCUGCUGGGUUCACAACUUGCUGUUGAGCUAUAAACCCACAUCAGGAAGCCCAGGUACAAACUGAGGGUUGGCUUCUCCCUGGUAAUCUAACCAGAUGCUUACUGAGCCUGAGAUGCUACUUUCAUACCACCUUCUGCCGACUGCUGCUUUGGCAAAAUAAAGAUUGUCCACCAAUCUACCAACACCAUCUCACUUUAA